GUAAUAAUAAUAAUUGGUGAUUCAAUUAAACCUUUUGUGAAUAAUGUACAAUGUAAUAUAAUCCCUUUAACCUUAUAUUAUAGAUCAGACUCAAGACAUGUAUUGUGUCAUCCUCUUCAUCGUCUAAUCCAAAUUUCCUUGAUCAAUGAGUAGACUAUUAAACAAAUCAAUAUUUGAGCACGGCCAUGCAUUUUAUAGUCUCACUCAAUCAAGAGGCCAAUAAUAUCACUCCUAAAAUAGGAGGGUUAAAUCCUUUCUAGAUCAUUCAUAUUUCUCAUACGAUUCAUAAUAUACCCAAUGUACAUUUCAUCAUCACCCGG
rnacentral:lncRNA from 1 species